UACGAAGGGGGCUAGCGUUGCUCGGAAUCACUGGGCGUAAAGGGUGCGUAGGCGGGCAGUUAAGUCAGUGGUGAAAUCCUUGAGCUCAACUCGAGAACUGCCAUUGAUACUAUCUGUCUUGAAUAUUGUGGAGGUAAGCGGAAUAUGUCAUGUAGCGGUGAAAUGCUUAGAUAUGACAUAGAACACCGAUUGCGAAGGCAGCUUACUACGCAUAUAUUGACGCUGAGGCGCGAAAGCUAGGGGAGCAAACGGG
rnacentral:rRNA from 1 species